rnacentral:rRNA from 1 species
GAUGAACGCUGGCGGCGUGCCUAACACAUGCAAGUCGAACGGAAAGACGAGGUGCUUGCCUGUCUGACGUUAGACGCGGAAGUGAGAGAAACACGCGUAUCCCCUCCCUGUAAGUCUGGGAUCGCUUGGGGAAACCGGAGCUAAUACGAGAUAAGAUAUUGAACCGCGUGGUUCAAUAGUGAAAGACGGCGGUGCUGUCACUUAUAGAUGGGUCCGCGCCGGAUUAGCUAGUUGGUAAGGUAACGGCUUACCAAGGCAACGAUGUGUAGCCGACCUGAGAGGAUGAUCGGCCACACUGGAACUGAGACACGGUCCAGACUCCUACGGGAGGCAGCAGUAGGGAAUCUUCGGCAAUGGGCGAAAGCCUGACGGAGCCACGCCGCGUGAGUGAUGAAGGUCUUCGGAUCGUAAAACUCUGUUAUUAGGGAAGAACAGAUGUGUACUUAAAUAUACACGUCAUGACGGUACCGUAUCAGAAAGCAACGGCUAACUACGUG